rnacentral:misc_RNA from 1 species
CGAAAUUCCGCCCCUGCAAAAAACCUUUUGAAAUUCCACAACUUUCUCCGAAAUGGAUUCUGAAACUUCCAAUGGAAUCGAAGAAACGGUACUUGAUAUCCUCAAAACCUCUAACCUGGAAGAAGUUUCGGAGCAAAAAAUCCGAAGAAUGGCUUCAGAAAAGCUAGGUCUUGACCUAUCCGAACCGACCCGGAAGAAAUUUGUCCGGCAGGUGGUGGAGAAGUUCCUUGCUGAAGAACAAGCAAAACGUGAAGCAAAUGCUGCUGAUGAAGUGAAGGAGGAGGAGGAGGAGG